GACGAACGCUGGCGGCGUGCUUAACACAUGCAAGUCGAACGGAAAGGCCCUGCUUUUGUGUGGUGCUCGAGUGGCGAACGGGUGAGUAACACGUGAGUAACCUGCCCUUGACUUUGGGAUAACUUCAGGAAACUGGGGCUAAUACCGGAUAGGAGCUCCUGCUGCAUGGUGGGGGUUGGAAAGUUUCGGCGGCUGGGGAUGGACUCGCGGCUUAUCAGCUUGUUGGUGGGGUAGUGGCUUACCAAGGCUUUGACGGGUAGCCGGCCUGAGAGGGUGACCGGCCACAUUGGGACUGAGAUACGGCCCAGACUCCUACGGGAGGCAGCAGUGGGGAAUAUUGCACAAUGGGCGGAAGCCUGAUGCAGCAACGCCGCGUGCGGGAUGACGGCCUUCGGGUUGUAAACCGCUUUCGCCUGUGGCGAAGCGUGAGUGACGGUAAUGGGUAAAGAAGCACCGGCUAACUACGUG
rnacentral:rRNA from 1 species